CUACGGGACGCACCAGUGAGGAAUAUUGCACAAUGGGGGGAACCCUGAUGCAGCAACGCCGCGUGGAGGAUGACGCAUUUCGGUGUGUAAACUCCUUUUAUAUGUCAAGAAAAUGACGGUAGCAUAUGAAUAAGCACCGGCUAACUCCGUGCCAGCAGCCGCGGUAAUACGGAGGGUGCAAGCGUUACUCGGAAUCACUGGGCGUAAAGGACGCGUAGGCGGAUUGGAAAGUCAGGUGUGAAAUCCUACAGCUUAACUGUAGAACUGCACUUGAAACUUCUAAUCUAGAGUAUGGGAGGGGGAGAUGGAAUUAGUGGUGUAGGGGUAAUAUCCGUAGAUAUCACUAGGAAUACCUAAAGCGAAGGCGAUCUCCUGGAACAUUACUGACGCUAAGGCGUGAAAGCGUGGGGAGCAAACAGGAUUAGAUACCCGUGUAGUC
rnacentral:rRNA from 1 species